AAACAAACCAACUGCGUCUCGAGAAUGAUGAAACACUAUUAAUGCCAGUAAAACACGGAAGCUCUGAAUCGCUCGCUCGUAUCGAUUUUCCCCAAAUCAGUCAUGGAUUUCCUCAGAACGUUGGUUACGUUUUUGAGCUUGGGCGCGUGUGUGUCAUCAGUCUCCGCUACAAAUGCUAUAGUGGAGCCGGUAUCUAAGAACUAUCCUUGCUGUGAAAGCCCAGAGAUCAUGGUUGAUGACCAUGAAGACUGUGAACAGACUUGGGAAUCAGCAGAGAAAAAGAUCAUCGCUACAUAUCAUCCGGACCAGCUGGCCCAUCCUCCUGAGUGUCAGGCUCCCUGCACCAGCGUUUCCUCAGUGAAGAUCAGCAUGGACAAAUGUCUUAAUGUCCAACACAAGAUGUUUUGCUCGCGCUCAGACGGAACCAUAAAUGAGAAGAAUACAAAUUACAUCGCAAUCACGAACAACUGCCCAGAGACUCCAAAACCGAAUGCAAGAUCAGCGGCUUCAUCACAUAACAGUUACAAUGGCUGGGUACCUGGUCCACUGGCAUGUGUUUUCACUUUGAUCUGCGUGGUAAUUCCUUUCUACUGUGCAAGACGAAACGGUGGUAACCACAUCCAGGCUAACCAAUGAGUUAAACACCAGCGACCAAGGACACUGAGUGGUCCCACUCCCAGCCUCAUCUCAUGGACCAAGCUGAGGAGAUUUUCCUCAUUCUCUCUCUUUCUGCUGCACUUUAUCUCCUCCCUUCCCCUUGGACGUCUCUGUUUAGAAUGUUAUAGGAAGGCUUUGAACCCGAGUUUAGCUAGCAAUAUACAGUUACCUUAUUAUUAUUAUAUUUCAGAAAGGGAAAAAGGGAACUGAAGUAGCCAAUAGGUCCCUCCUUUUGUUGCGCGUUAUUAUUGUUCUUAACUUGGAAAUGUUUCAUAAGCAAUAGAGCAAAUUCAAGAAAAUGAAUGUGGUAAAGUAUGUGGGGUUUCUGAGCAUUCUGGGUCUGUAUUCCAAUAGCCGUUUCACACCAAUUCUAUUCCCCGACGCUUCCUAAAUCUCCAGAUGUUCUCUUUGAUCCCUAUUAUACCUGCUGUCCGAUAAGCUAGAAAAGGAGCCUGUGGAGGUUUUACUACUGAAUAUUUACAGCCCCACUGCACUUCAGCGAUACACCAGCCUACAACGUUGGCGAGGGAAGUGCUUAAAACAAAGAAAUUCUGAAUUUGAAUGUUCAUGUGAACACACUGUGCUUUUGGUUUAUUUCAGGGUGUACGUCUAUUUUAAUCAAAGAUCAAAUAGGUGCUGCAACACUGGGUUUUUCGACUAUCUACCUCCUUUCUAUAAGCAAAACAUUUAUGAACUACUUUUAUAAAGGUUGUCAAUAAUAAAUGAAUAAGCUAGAUUAGCCAAGUUUAAUAAUGUAGUAUAUGUGCAAUGACCAAAAUGUGAGGAAAGGGGCAUGUUACAUCACUACAUUUCCUGAUGAAGAAGAAACGGUUCUCAUGGUCAGCCAACAACUUGAAAUAUGUAGAAAAACACUUGAUUAAAUAGCACUAAUAAUGUGAUGGUGCUGUUGUGCAAACUAAUAUCUCAAAGAAUUUACAUUUGAUACUGAUUGUGUAAGCCAUAUUUUGUUUCUAUAUACAGUUUGUUCAAGUGCGUGCACUUUUACCUGCCAUCUGCUUUCUCUUUUUUUUUCUGCUGACCUUACCUUAUAAAACACAUUUGACAAUGCACUUCAA